UCUCUAUCAAUAAUCUCUUUAGGUCACGAUUCAAAUUUCAGUAUUCUAUUUGUCUAAACAUUAGUAGGUCAUCUUUACUCAAUAUUUAUAUUAAUUAAAAGAUAAUUAGAUUAGGUAUAAAUUAGCUCCAAAAAUCAGUGUCAUUAGAUAUUGUAGCUUACAAAAAUAACAUGAUUAUUUCUUUGAAAAAAGAUAAGCUUAAUGAAAGGUCCAUUAGGCUAAAAAGAUUUUUCUCUUCAUUGGGCACUAGCUAGGAAGAGUCCAAACUCCACUUUAUUUCUUUUGUUUGGUUUGGGUCUAAGUUCAUAGUAUUAAUUAAUGAAAGCAAUACUAUAUGAAAGUGAUCAUACAUUGUCUCUAAUUUCAUUAACAAUAACAUUUAACACGUAGACCCCAACAAGUAACAAGUGGACUACACUAUGAUUUUCAUUUGCUUUAAUAUAGGUACAAUUACAUGUUUUAUUUUUUAUUUAUUUCAUUAGGACAGACAUCUUCAUUACUAUAUUUUUUUUGAUAUAUGACUUUUGAAAUAUUUUACUUGAAUUAAAGUUUUAUCAAAAAUAUUUUUUAUUGUUUUCACAAAAUAAGAAUAAAAUCUGUAUUAAUAGAUCCAUAGGAUUGAUCUACUGAAUGUUACUCAUUAUUUCUAUAGGACAGAGGACUUUUGAGGUCACAAUUCUGCAAUUUGGGAUUAUUAGUUUUCCAUGUGUUAAUAUUAGUCCAUAAAUUUUGCAAAUAUGACCGUUUUGCCCCAAGUUUUAUGGGUCAAUUUGAAAUGACCCCGUGAAUGAUACUCAUUGACUUUUUAGGCAUAACAUGGUGUUUUUGGAGUUUUGUGGUCACACACAAAAAAAAACGAAAUUCAGGAUUAUCUUAGUUUUAUCAUGUCUAUUAGAAUUUUAGGAAAUAUAAUUGACGCUUUCGCUUGAUCCCAAAUUUUGUGGUACGGCGAAUCAGGAUAUAUAUAAAUUUAGUUAAUCAGGAAAAGUAUAUUUUUAAGACUAUCAAUAAUUUAAAAAUGAAAUUAAUAAUUUACGACUCAAUGAUUCUUGUUAUUUUACACUAUUUUUCAUUUUUACUACCCCCAAUCCCUCACCCCCACCAGCUACCAAGAGGCUUUUUCUGUUUAGCAAUUUUGUUGACUUUACAACAUACAUGGCAUCAGCCAGCACCAGACACCAGGAUAUCAAACCAUGAACGAAGAAAGGCAUGAGAGAAAAGCAUAUUGGCUAGAGAAUGUGGCGGAGCUCAUUGCAUCUACAACUCUCAACAUGUAUCCGCAGGUAUCUGCUGUUCGUGUUCAAGUUGGAAAGCCUCAUGUGGCUGUUCAAGGACCUGUUGACUACUUAGGCGUCGAGAUCAACAGACACAGAGAUUUUGAUGUGUAAAGCCAAGACAUGUUGCUUGUAUGAGUUUUUGUUAUUCGAAAUCAUGUUGUUCACUUACUUAUUUUGAUUGCAAAGCUAGUUUUUUCUCUUCAUCUGUAGAGUGUUUAGAAUCUUCUCCAUAUGCAUUUUUUGAGAGCAUGAUUGAGAAAGAAAAGAAAGAAAAACAACAAAAAAGUUGAUUCUUUUAUAUAUUGUAGGUUGUAACCCAA